UGGAACUGUAAUUUUGUAUAUAUUGUAUUUAUAAUAAUUGUUUUAUUAACACUUUUUACUGAUUGAUAUAAUGUUUUACAAGUUCAAGAGCGUUUAAAUUGUUUUAAUGUGUGUAUACGUUAAUGUAAGCGCACUUUUUUUGUUGAUAGCACUUUCAUCUUUAAAAAGAAGGUUGUAAGGAUUGUUAUCGCUCGAACUUGGGUGAGUUUGGAAGAUGGUACGAAUAAAUUGUUUCUUGUAGUUGUAA
rnacentral:misc_RNA from 1 species